GAUGUUUCGUGUCUGAUGUACAUUCUUUUUAAACACUGAGAAUCAAGUGUAGUAUUGAAGGCCCCACCCCAUGCUGUAAUACAGUAGGUCAUUACAGAUUCAGCUAGGGAAUUGUAAAGUAAAAGGAGAUUUCUUCUGGUUCUAAAUAUAUGGUUGAAUCAUUUCUUGCUAAGGAGUGUCUGGCUGAAUUCAUUUUGGGAAUUUUUUCUGACAUAUUGAUACCGAGAUUGGUGUAAAAAUUAUUAAAUAUGUUGGCUUUUU